AAUAUGUUCAAUGGUAGAAUGUUCGCCUGCCACGCGGGUGACCCGGGUUAGAUUCCCGGUU
rnacentral:tRNA from 1 species